AUUGAACGCUGGCGGAAUGCUUUACACAUGCAAAUCGAGCGGCAGCGCGGGGGCAACCCUGGCGGCGAGCGGCGAACGGGUGAGUAAUAUAUCGGAACGUACCCCGUCGUGGGGGAUAACACAGCGAAAGCUGUGCUAAUACCGCAUACGACCUGAGGGUGAAAGCGGGGGAUCGCAAGACCUCGCGCGAUGGGAGCGGCCGAUAUCGGAUUAGCUUGUUGGUGAGGUAAAGGCUCACCAAGGCGACGAUCCGUAGCUGGUCUGAGAGGACGACCAGCCACACUGGAACUGAGACACGGUCCAGACUCCUACGGGAGGCAGCAGUGGGGAAUUUUGGACAAUGGGGGCAACCCUGAUCCAGCCAUGCCGCGUGCGGGAAGAAGGCCUUCGGGUUGU
rnacentral:rRNA from 1 species